CUAAAAUAGGAAGAAUUAGAAAUACGCCGGGAAGUGAAAAUUUCUCUUGUAGCUAAAACUGUUUUAGAUCGAAACUGGCGAUGCUGGAUGCGAGGAAAUUUAUUCAUUGGAAAGGAAAGUGGAUGCGAAGAAGUGUGAUAUGAUAUGAUAUCUUGCAGAUGAUUUUAUUUCUAUGUUUGGAUGUUUUGAGUAAAAUGUUACAGCAUACUUGCUUGUGUUAGCAUUAAGUAUUAUAUAUUCGCAAUGUAAGUGUACAUUUUUGAACACAAUUUGAAUUUCAUACGUUGAUAAUUAAAAAUAUUUGUU
rnacentral:misc_RNA from 1 species